rnacentral:lncRNA from 7 species
UAGGGCCUGCAGGCUGUGACACAAACACUGCAUCACGCUGUGCACUAUGUUCAUGUUAGCUUGUAUGCUGUGGAUUUUCCUUUCAAAAAAAGACACAACACCUGGAUGCAUCAGGGAAAAUAUGAAAAUAAUGAAGAGGAACACAUGGGAGAAGAACGCAUCAAGCCGAAGCCCUGCUGCCUGGGGCACGCAGUGACUCUGGCCGCGAUGUCCUGUUGUGCAGCGCACGGUGCUCUGCAGCCACUGCUGGGCUGAAAAGCCACAGCAGGCUUGGUCAUGUUUAGAAGGCUGAUCCUCACUCUUCAUUCUGCAGCCUCAGUCACGCUUUCUGCCUCGGCCCCUUUACCUGGUUGAGGCUCCUGGCCUGUGGGAGCAGCUGUGUGCUGUGGAGGUCCCCCUCCUGCACGCAGGAACACCAGUAAUGCCAUGUGGGAGGCAGCUGCACCUUCCUGUGCAUCUGCCUUUGUGUCUCCCUUGUACCCUGGAGUGGCACGUCCUCUGGUUUCAUUUUUUCCUGUCAAGCACACAUAGCACUGAAGUUUGUGGGUGCUGUAGCAGGCACUGUAAUAGCUGUAGUGAGAAUUACUACUGAUGUCUUAUUUCUAAUUUUUUUUUUUUAAGAAAAUGAGGCAUGUGCAGGCUUUUGUCUGACAGUCUGUUUGGCUGUCUGUCAAGCUCCAUUAGGGGAUUUGAUCAGCACUGUGGUCAGACAGGCCCUUCUCAUCUUUCACAUGGCAUUAGAAAUCAACAUAAUUUUCAAACAAUAUUUUACAGUAUUUAAUAAUAAAUUGUUUUUAUCAUGCCUCUUGGUUGCCAUAAUCUUGUAUCAGUUAAAUGGAUCCCCUUGUGCUUGUCAGGCCUGCUAUGCCACAUAUUCUUGAUUUUGAAGAAGUUUCAAAGGGUUGGGGCUUUGUUAUUACUUUCUUUGUUGCUGUUGGGUUCUCAUAUGUAUGCUUUGUGUUCCAGAAUGAUGUUUCUGUUUGCAGAUUUACACUGCUUUGCUUACAAUCUGAACUGAUACUUAGAACUGAGUAAUAAAUUUAGAAAAUUGUUUUUAAGUGGAAUAUUUGGCAGACUAAGCUGAUUAUCUUGAACUUACUGACAGAGCAGUGCUGCUUAAUGUUUUCAUUCCAAGCCCCUUCUCCUCAUGUUUAGUAAUUAUGUAGCUAUUAUUCACUAGGAAUGGCUAUAUUGUAUUUUAAAAUAAUACUUUUCCUCUUUCCUGAAACAAUGAAGUUUUUUUUUUAAUGAUUAGGUAGAAAAAAAGUCAAUUGAAAUGAAAUAAGAGUAUUAUUUAGUGCAUCUCAGGGCCCUUCUCUAAUUCUUCAGCCUUGAAGAUGCCGUCCGUCUGCCUUAAAGUUUUCUUUAUUCAGAAAGGUUUUCUAAGGUGUACUUCAAAGAAACAUGUCUGGGAGUAUUCUUUGGUUUGUAUAAAGCCUUCAGUUUAUUUGGAAGGGAUUCCUUUCAGUAUUUCUCUUCAAAAAACAAAGGCCAGAACCUUUUGAAAUCCUUAAGAAGAAAUGUAAAGGGGAGCUGAAAUAACUGUAUUUCUUUAGGAUUUUGCAGUAGUAGGUCACAAGGGAAAGUUUUUCUUUUUUUUGUAUUUCCUGGUUAUUCUGUGGGUUUUUAUACUAAUGAAUGUGCCAUGUAAGUUUAACCUCAGAAACUUUUUUUUUUUUACUAGAUGUUGAAUAUGAUGUUUCUUUUGUGGCUGGCAAAAUUAGAUUUCCAUCACAUUUGCUUAUGAUAUCAGUAAGGUAAAGAAGAACAGAGUGUUUGUUGCAGGCAUGAAUGAUGUAUGUUGCUCUUUCGAAAAUAUGAGCUAAAAUAAUGGUAAUAAAUUGUUUCCU